AUUGAACGCUGGCGGCAGGCCUAACACAUGCAAGUCGUACGAGUGGCGGACGGGUGAGUAAUGUCGGGGAAACUGCCUGAUGGUGGGGGAUCACUACUGGAUACGGUAGCUAAUACCGCAUACCAUCGGAUGUACCCAGAUGGGAUGAGCUAGUAGGUGGGGUAACGGCUACACUAGGAGACGAUCCCUAGCGGGUCUGAGAGGAUGACCAGCCACACUGGAACUGAGACACGGUCCAGACUCCUACGGGAGGCAGCAGUGGGGAAUAUUGCACAAUGGGCGCAAGCCUGAUGCAGCCAUGCCGCGUGUAUGAAGAAGGCCUUCGGGUUGUAAAGUACUUUCAGCGGGGAGGCGUUACCCACAGAAGAAGCACCGGCUAACUCCGUGCCAGCAGCCGCGGUAAUAC
rnacentral:rRNA from 1 species